AAGGAGCACCACGAGAAACACUCCAAUUGGUGGGGUGUGAGCCGUGAGGGGUUCUCGUCUGUAGUGGACGAGGGCCGGGUGCACAACAACAGGCAAUCGCCAGACACACUAUUGGGCCCUGAGACAACACUCGGCCGACUUCGGUUGAAGUGGUGUCCCUCCAUCUUGGUGGUGGGGUGUGGUGUUUGAGUAUUGGAUAGUGGUUGCGAGCAU
rnacentral:misc_RNA from 1 species